rnacentral:rRNA from 1 species
UGGGGAAUUUUGGACAAUGGGCGAAAGCCUGAUCCAGCAAUGCCGCGUGUGUGAAGAAGGCCUUCGGGUUGUAAAGCACUUUUGUCCGGAAAGAAAUCCUUGGCUCUAAUACAGUCGGGGGAUGACGGUACCGGAAGAAUAAGCACCGGCUAACUACGUGCCAGCAGCCGCGGUAAUACGUAGGGUGCAAGCGUUAAUCGGAAUUGCUGGGCGUAAAGCGUGCGCAGGCGGUUUGCUAAGACCGAUGUGAAAUCCCCGGGCUCAACCUGGGAACUGCAUUGGUGACUGGCAGGCUAGAGUAUGGCAGAGGGGGGUAGAAUUCCGACGUGUAGCAGUGAAAUGCGUAGAGAUGUGGAGGAAUACCGAUGGCGAAGGCAGCCCCCAUGGGCCAAUACUGACGCUCAUGCACGAAAGCGUGGGGGAGCAAACAGGAUUCAGAUACCCUGGUAGUCCAGCGCCCUAAACGAUGUCAACUAGUUGUUGGGGA